rnacentral:rRNA from 1 species
AUUGAACGCUGGCGGCAGGCUUAACACAUGCAAGUCGAACGAGUGGCGGACGGGUGAGUAAUGCCUGGGAAACUGCCUGAUGGAGGGGGAUAACUACUGGAAACGGUAGCUAAUACCGCAUACCAUCGGAUGUGCCCAGGUGGGAUUAGCUAGUUGGUGGGGUAAAGGCUCACCAAGGCGACGAUCCCUAGCUGGUCUGAGAGGAUGACCAGCCACACUGGAACUGAGACACGGUCCAGACUCCUACGGGAGGCAGCAGUGGGGAAUAUUGCGCAAUGGGGGCAAGCCUGACGCAGCCAUGCCGCGUGAAUGAAGAAGGCCUUCGGGUUGUAAAGUACUUUCGGUAGCGAGGCGUUAACUACAGAAGAAGCACCGGCUAACUCCGUGCCAGCCGCCGCGGUAAUAC